AUAGAAGUAUCAAAAUACUAAAAUUUAGCAGAUGUGGUUGCAGUCAAUCGAACGUACUGCAGGGCGAAAACGUAUACGUCGGCUGCAUAUACGAGUUGAAGCUAUUACCGCUGUUUAUCAAAAUCGAGAUCGGUGAAUUGAUUCCGAAGCAAUUGCGAGUCGGUUGCAUCUGCUGUCACUAUAUUACAAUGUAUCAGAAGCGUAUACCAAAAAGUCACCAAAAGCGUCAAAACUUGUCAAACAAAAAAAGUUCGGUUAUGUCUACCAUCGUUUUGUCAAAACAUAUUAUCUCUACAUAGAUACUGCGAAUACAUGAAAAAUAUUCAACUAAAAUGCCAAAAUUUACAAGUUAGUAAAAUUAAAAUUAUAUAUAUUUGGUGUAUUUAGAGAACAA